rnacentral:rRNA from 1 species
UACGUAGGUGGCGAGCGUUGUCCGGAUUUAUUGGGUUUAAAGGGUGCGUAGGCGGCUUUGUAAGUCAGUGGUGAAAUACUCCAGCUUAACUGGAGGGGUGCCAUUGAUACUGCGGAGCUUGAGUACAGAUGAGGUAGGCGGAAUUGACGGUGUAGCGGUGAAAUGCAUAGAUAUCGUCAAGAACACCGAUAGCGAAGGCAGCUUACUGGGCUGUAACUGACGCUGAUUCACGAAAGUGUGGGGAUCAAACAGG